AGAACAGAGGAGGGGGAAAGAGACAAACCUCUCCAAGGAGCUCGGGAACCCCUUCGCUUUGUGUUUGACUGCUCUGCUGCGAUGGACUCCAGGUGAUGUUAAGGAAGGGGCGCAGGUGGAGAGGAGGAUUUCUAGAAAUCAGGAGGUGGCAGAGAAGCAACACAGCUGCUGUGUCUUUACUCCCCGUGUUCCUUUCCAAGAGGCCUAACACGAGCCAGCAGCUCGCCUUCGAUGAUCUUUGAAACCAUUCCUCAACGCCCUUCUACAGGGGGAAAACCGGGUGAGGACUCUCGACUAGUUGUUUUGUUUGUAGGAAACUGGACGUUACUGGGAAUCAUUGGGAAGAAAUGCGAAGAGGAAGAAGAAGUUAAUACAGGAGGCAAGAAGAACCUCCUUGACAGUAACAAACCAGUAAUGGCAAAUCCUUGUCUACAAAUCCAGGAUCAGUUGGAAUACACACGCCUCAGACCCUUUAUCUGAUAAAUAGCAAGACUGACUUGAGUGAGAAAAGAGAGGAAAAGCCGCCUUAGAACAACUUGAUAUUUCCCAGAGAUUUCCUCAUCGAAUUUUAAUAAACUGAUUGCUCUGUCCUCUUGAAUAUCAAGCUUUCUUUCAAAACCACGGCUUCUUCUUUCCCUCUCGCUUAAGGCGCUCUUUAAAGAAAUCGACUUUUUAACGACAAACCCGUCUAGUAGGAAGUUUUGAAAGGAGGGCUGGAAAGAGACGACAGGA